CAAACUUGAGAGUUUGAUCCUGGCUCAGAACGAACGCUGGCGGCAUGCUUAACACAUGCAAGUCGAACGAGAAAGCUUCUUCGGAAGUGAUUAAAGUGGCGCACGGGUGAGUAACGCGU
rnacentral:rRNA from 1 species